AUGGCGCAAAGUUUGACAGUCUUUUUCGUGACAGUGCUUUCUACUGUAGUGUUUGGGAUAAAAGAAGGCAGUGACCAGUGCUCAGUUCCUGUAAGAAUAUACACAAUGUGGAUGGUACUUGAAAAGUUAUUAUGCUGGAGUUGCCUGAGAUUCUUCAAACACAUGGAGUGCGUUCGAGACCGCCAUUCUUCGAACGAGCACAAAUUCCUGCCGAUUCCGAACUCCGAGUACGCAUCACGAGAACGGAUUCGAGGUGCAAGAACUGCAAGUAGUGUGAUCUAAGAACAAGCACGUUUGCGCGCACAUGUUCUCGUCAUUCACGACUCAAACACAGGAGUUUGUAACACUAUAGCUCAUGGCUUGGUAAAUCGAGUGAAUUUUAUUGACUUUAUUGAUAAAAUUUCGAACUCCUGUGACUGUAAGAACUGAGCACGAAAACAAUGGUAACGUCGAUCUCGAACGCACUUAUGGACAUUUAUAAAAGGAUUAACUCGGAGGUUACUGUAUGCUUCUGAAGAUCUUGAAUGCAAAAUAAAGUAUGGUGAUCUUUUUCUUCUGAAGGUGUCAGAAAAUGAAUUGCUUGCAACUGUGAUGUGUUUCGUUUCAUUAAAUACUAUUGAAUAA